AUGAAGUUUUUGGUGAGCCACAAGGCACAAGUCAUCACGCAGCUUGUUGCUUGGAAGGGCCCGGAUGAUCCAUCUUCUGGGGACUUCUCAGUCAGCGGCGAGCCUAGCGCCCCAGACCUUCAACUUGUCACUUGGAAAAAAACUAGGCCAUACUGCCGCACUGUGUGGAACGGUGUGUCAGUGUCCGGUGGCACAUAUCUAUCAAACACCAGCUCCAUCCUUUAUCAGACGGUUGUCAACUCUGGAGACGAGUUCUACUUCACGUACGCAAUCUCCGACAACUCGGUGUACACACGCGUCAUGCUUGAUUAUACUGGCAAGUACAGGUCUCUAGCAUGGAACAAUCACUCGUCAUCAUGGGCACUCAUCAGUGAAUACCCCACUGCUGCAUGCGAGCUCUACGCCUCAUGUGGCCCAUUCAGUUACUGUGACUUGACUCAAAUGGUCCCAACUUGCCAAUGUCUUGAGGGGUUUGAGACUGUCAAUGCUGCAAAUUUUUCUAAUGGAUGUCGGAGAAAGCAAGGGUUGAAAUGUGGCAAUCAAAGUCAUUUCGUGGCCUUGCCUGGGAUGAAAGUUCCUGACAAGGUCUUGCGUAUACACAACAGAAGCUUGGAUGAGUGCGAGGCUGAGUGCAGGCGCAACUGCUCAUGUGCAGCUUACGCUUAUGCUAACUUGAGCGGGGCCAUAGGUAUGGCUCACUCGUCAAGGUGCUUGGUAUGGUUAGGGGAGCUUGUCGACAUUUGGAAGACAAUCAACGGCGGUGAGAGCCUGUACUUAUGGCUUGCUGAUUCUCCUGUUUAUAAGGGGAUCAGUUCAGUAAAGAUUAUAAUCCUGAUUAUAGCAUGUCUGCUGCUACUAACAUGCGUAUGCCUUUUCUGGGUGUACAAAUAUAAAGGCAAAUUGCAAAAGAAGGAAAAGCAGAAGAAACUGUCGCGAGGAUACUUUAGCAAAUCCAAUCAUCUCGAAGACAAACAUACAGAAUUUCCAUUUGUUAGCUAUGGAGACAUCCUUUCAGCAACAAAUUCUUUCGCUGAUUCCAACUUGCUUGGACGGGGAGGUUUUGGCAAUGUUUACAAGGGCACACUUGAAGGUGGAAAUGAGGUUGCUGUAAAAAGGCUUAGUCAGAGCUCCGGACAAGGUAUAGUGGAGUUCAAAAAUGAAGUGAUUCUAAUUGCCAAGCUGCAGCACAAGAACCUAGUCGGACUUCUUGGGUCGUGCAUUCACGAAGACGAGAAGUUACUGAUCUACGAAUACUUACCUAACAAAAGCUUGGAUGUUUUUCUUUUCGAUGCUUCACGCAAACAUGUGCUUGACUGGUCGACACGGUUCAAAAUAAUUAAAGGAAUAGCAAGAGGUCUUCUUUAUCUCCAUCAAGAUUCAAGACUAACAAUAAUUCACAAAGAUCUCAAAGCAAGCAACAUCUUGUUGGACACAGAAAUGACUCCCAAAAUUUCAGAUUUUGGUAUGGCAAGAAUUUUCGCUACAAACCAAAACCAAGCAAACACUACCAGGGUCGUUGGGACAUAUGGUUACAUGUCGCCUGAAUAUGCGAUGGGAGGUGCUUUUUCUGUAAAAUCAGACACAUAUAGCUUCGGUGUUCUUCUUUUAGAGAUUGUCAGUGGCUUGAAGAUCAAUUCACCUCAGCUCAUAACAAAAUUUUCUAGCCUUAUCACUUAUGCAUGGAGAUUGUGGGAAGAUGGAAACACAAUUGAACUUGUGGACUCUUCCUUUGUUGCAAGUUUCCGACUUCAUGAAGUUCUGCGUUGUAUUCAUGUGGGACUCUUGUGUGUUCAGGACCGUGCUAGGGAUAGGCCACUUAUGUCAUUGGUUAUGUUUAUGUUCGAGAACGAAAGCGCACCGCUUCCAGCUCCAAAGCAACCUGUGUAUUUUGCUCUAGGUACUUGUGCUGACCAAGAAGGAAGGGAGAUUACAUCGAACUCUGUGAAUGCAGUGAGUAUCACAACAGUUGAUGGCCGUUAG
rnacentral:rRNA from 1 species